CUUAGCGCUGUCGUCGUAGAAGUAAUUGGUUCCUUUGUCAAUAUUAUGUGGAAGUUUGUUUAGUAAUGUUUUGUAGUUUACGGAAACGCGAUCUCUGCUAAGAGGAGCCAAGUUAGCGUAUUUUUGUAGCGGGAGAGCGGUUUAUGAUACACGAGAGAUUUUCGCCCUUCUUUUAUCAUAGAAGAAAAACAAUAUCAAGAGCGAGUAGAAAAAAAGCAAAGAGAAUUGCUUUCUCGACCGAGAUUUGAUCCUCGAACGCUGUGUCAGAGUGAAGUGUAAAAUUAUUUGUGUUUUUUAUCGGCUCGUCCAUCAUACACAACCGGGUGUAUGCUCGCGCGCUCCCUCUCUGUCUAUCUAGCUCUAUGUAUCUCUCCGUCUCGAAUUCAAUCGAUUUUGACUUAUCGACCGAAUGGCUCGCUUAGCAUAUAGUUUUAAUCAGUAGUACCGCGUUGAUUGUUGAAUGAUGUGGUCGAAAACCGCAAACGUAAGCGAGUGAAUUUUUAAUAGCAUACAAAAAACAAUUAUUCUCCGAGCACACGGCCGGCAUUGGUAGUUCGUAAUGGAACGUCAAGCAGAGUGACACGCCGAGAGUGAUCCAAUGAGUUUUCAAUGAUCAAUCGAGAAGAUAAGUUGGCUGAAAGAUUUCGGUUUCACGUGCAGUGCUAAAGAUGAAGACACCUUUCACAAAUAAUGCAGCAUACAUAGAAGUGUGACUAGCGAUAUUAAAACAAACGAAUCAAACUAGUGCAAUAAAUAGUUAAAAAAUACACUACAAGUGAUGUACAUGUCUAAGAUUCGUUUAUAAUGCCGAUAAAAGUGAGAUUUUGAUAGAAUAUCAACAACUGGACAGUGCUGAGAAAUGAUUCAGGUCGACUCUGUUGGAUACUCAAGAGUGAAGGAUGAAUCAAACAAUGAUGAAGAUAUGAAGGAGAACAGUUGUAGCGAUAUAGAAAAUAAAGUUCAAUCGCCGUCGGUAAAAUCAUUCCCUAGAAUGUCGGAAGAAUAUACCGAUCAGGACAGCAUCAAGCGAGACAGGCUGAAUGAUCGUCAUCUCUCUACGAGACAUCAACAACAUCGCGAUCGCGAGGAGAUCACGCAUAACGAGGAUAAUUUAAGUGACGAAGAGAACAAUGAUGACGACAGUAGUCGUGCGGGAGACAAUGAUGGAAACAAAAAAUCCGACUAUCAGGACCGAAGCACGACACCACAUGGUUCAUUGGAUGGAUCUCCGACGGCUAAUGUUACUGGUCAUACGGCGGCUGCAGUUGCAAUUGCAGCCGCCACAGCUGCAGCGGCUGCUGCUGCUGCGAAAAGUCCUGUGACCAAUACCAGCUCAGCUCUGCCGAACGAAUUCAAUCCUGCGGCAUUUUUCCCUCCUCCUGGGCAGAUGUCAAUCCAAGCCUUUCAAAAUGCAAUUGCUCAAUUCACCGCGAAUGCUUUGGCGAACAAUAUGGAUAAUGAUACUGUAGUGAAAAAUCUGGCUAUUCUACAGUCGGCACUUUUCACAUUGCAACAGCAACAGUUUUUACAGUUUCAACUGAUUCAACAUCUUCAAUCUCAGUUAGUGAAAAAACAUGCCGAGAAAGAUGACACGGUGAAUGACUCUGGAAACUCUUCAAUUUUUAGUCAUAGUCAUAAUAAUAAUAACCAUAGUAAGAGGAAUGAGCCUCAAGACCUUCGCAAACAAGAUCGAAUAGAAGAAGAUGAAGAAAUUGAAGAAGAAGGAGUUGAAGACGCGUUUAGUAAAAGCUUUCAAAUGGCUAAUAUAAUGGCUGCUGCAGCGGCUGCAAGCACCGAGAAUCGCCCAUUAAUUCAUCCAGUCCCGGAAGAGGAGCUAAGGAAACCGAAAGCUUCUGAAUCUCUCGUUGAGAAGCGACCUAUGUUAGAACAUCCAAUAACGUUACCCGUUUCGACGGCAGCAUCUAGCAUCGGACCAAACAAUUCUACAUCCACUCUUUCUUCUAUUGCUAGAAGUGUUGGUACAUCAGAAAGGGAUGAGAUUUUACCAUAUCAAGAUUCGAAUUUCUCUUCUUUGGCGGCUAAUAUAAUUACUGAUCAUGCGCCAUCAACUAUGAGUGAACCAAACUCGUUGGCAAUGUUGGAGAAAAAAGCCCAAGAAGUUCUUAACUCAGCCUCGCAGGGGAUUCUAUCCAAUAAUUUAUUAGACGAACUGGCUUUUGCUAAUGACAAAUCAUCUCCUAAUGGGAGAAAUGAUGCCGCACUUUUCAAACAUCGCUGUAGGUACUGCGGAAAAAUAUUUGGAUCAGACUCAUCGUUACAAAUCCAUAUUCGAUCACACACAGGAGAGAGGCCAUACAAAUGUAAUGUUUGUGGAAGCCGAUUUACCACCAAAGGAAACCUAAAAGUACAUUUUCAAAGGCAUUCUGAUAAGUACCCGCACAUACCAAUGAAUCCCAAUCCGGUUCCCGAGCAUUUGGAUAAGUAUUUUCCACCAUUGAUUCCACAAGAGGCACUGAAAGAGCAACAACAGCAGCAACAGCAAUCUCAACCUCCUCCUGCACCUAUUCCACCGCCAGGACCUCCAACUCAGUUCCCAAAUACUUUUCAACCGAGAGGAUUCUUCCCUGAUUUUUAUUUACCUCGACCACCUUUAGAUAUGUUUUCUAAUCCAUUGAAUGAAUCUUCACGAAAUCCUGUGGAUCUUUCACAAGUCAAAAAACCAGUGGAGCCUCCAAGAGAACCUACUCCUGAAAUGAGGCUUUCACCGGAAGUGGUUAUUCAUGAGUCUCCGAACAUUAAACAGGAACCAAUGGAAGAGUCGCUAGAUCUAUCGGACAAGUCAACAAAGACUGUUCAUCGGGAAGAAGAAAAAGACGAGAUGGAGCAAGAGAAGGAAGAUAUUUCAAUCACAAAUAAUAGCACUAGUGAAAAAGAGUUUCCACUAAAGUUAAAAAACAAUUCUGUCGAAAACUUAGCGACAGUUCCUUCGGUUUCUCCUCCAUCGAGUUCAUCAUCUGGUUCACUGUACCAAGAUACGGUACUCGAUCCGUCAUUCUAUUCAGCCCAUAUGCCUCGUCCAGAUAGCAAUGACAGCUCGUGGGAAAAUUUCAUAGAAAUUUCUUCAGAAACAUCGAAACUUCAAGAGCUGGUUGAUAAUAUCGAUAGCAAAACCACCGAGCCAAAUCAGUGUUUGGUAUGUAAAAAAGUACUUUCCUGCCGAAGUGCACUUCAAAUGCAUUAUCGCGUUCACACUGGUGAACGGCCAUUCCGAUGUAAAAUUUGCGGUCGAUCGUUCACAACGAAGGGCAACUUGAAAACACACAUGAGUGUUCACAGGAUAAAACCGCCUAUGAGAACAUUGCACCAGUGUCCAGUAUGCCAUCAGAAGUUCUCCAAUAUAUUCGUUUUGCAGCAGCAUAUUCGUCUGCAUACUGGAGAAAUGACGGAUCUAACUCCCGAUCAAAUUAAAGCUGCAGAAAUCAAAGAAUAUGAAGGACCUGAUUUACGAUUGAAUCCCUUUGGUGUACGAUUGAAUGAUUUUCCCCCAAGUAAUCAAAAUAAAAGGAGUUUGGAGCACUCGGACGAAGAGAACGAGCAUGAUGCACAUGAUGAAAAAUCUCAUAAAAUACCAGCAAACGAAAAACUAAAAGUAAGGCCGGGACUUACAUCUCCGGCUAUUGAAAAUCAGGUCGAAGAUCUACGUGCAAUGAAUCUUCAGCGAUUGUCUGUACGGUCGCUACCAAACGAGGAAUUCUCUCGAGAUACUGCAUCUGCUAGCCCGAAUUCCGCAGACGCUAAGCGUUUACGAUCAUCCAGCCCAAUUGGUUCCGUCUCGUCAGCUAUGUCCACGAGGUCACCGAUGUCUACGCCACCAACUUCAGGAGGAGAACAAAUUGGUGUUGGAGCGGCCGGUAGAGCGGCGGCUGCAGCGGCAGCAGCUGCUGCUUUUCCAUAUGGACCACCCUUCUUAGGAAUGCCCCAAUUUCCACCAUUCAUUAGUAGACCGCCAUUUCUGGGGAAUGUACCAAUAGUGCCACCUGGUUCAAAUAUGCCUCCAUUCGGACUGUUCGAAAAUUUGAUUAAUUGUAGGCGUACGUGGAAACACAACAACUUGUAAUAUUUGCUUUAAAACUUUCGCAUGUAAUUCCGCGCUUGAAAUUCAUUAUCGAAGCCAUACGAAGGAGCGCCCAUUCAAAUGCACAAUCUGCGAUCGAGGAUUCUCUACAAAGGGAAAUAUGAAGCAGCACAUGCUCACUCACAAGAUCCGUGAUAUGUUUGGCAGCUCGGGAGGCAAUUCCGGAGAUGAGUCACGCACACAAACUCCACCGCAAGAUCCAAAUUCUAAUUCCGGCGGUGGAAGUACCGGGGGAGGAUCAAGCAGCACUGUCAAUAAUGGCAUUAAUCGAUUUUCGCAGUCUUAUUCUCCUGCUCCUAUGGAUAUGAUCGACGAUUUUGCCUCGGCAGGUGGAAACAAAAGGGAACGUUCCAAUUCUAGUAACUUCGAAAGUACCACGGCACAUUACGUCAAACAGGAGAAGGACAACGCCAUCGACGAGAAUGGCUCUAAUAGUUUGCACUCUAGCACAUCAGAGAAUCAAUCGUCUAAUAAUAACUAUCAAGAGUUCAUAAACAAAGAUGUGGACAUCAAAAAUUGGUGCCAAAAGCUAAAGGAAAUGCCGGAAAAUAUUGCAGCAAGUUGAUAAUUUCACGCAAAUAAUAGUCCAGUACUCGACGAAAAAAAAUCAUGAGUAACGUGAAUAAACUGAGUUUGCUGUUGUGAUACAAACAUGGUAUGUGGAAAACUAUGAUGCUAUGGCUUAGAGGUAUUCAUAGAAACUGAAUUCACUGCGAAACAAUUCAAAAUAGGAAUUUAACUUGUGAAAGGCAGUACAGGAAAAGGAACUAGUAAUCAAAUGUGCGAUCUCAGAAACAAUCCCCAACUUCGUUCUAUUGAUGAAGAAAACCGAAUUUGUAUUUUAGAAAUGAAAAUGUCUAUUUUUGUAAAAAUUGUAACAUAUCAUCUGUUCUAUAUACUCCCUGGUUGAACAUCAGAACUAGUGGCACGUUUUAUCGCAAAAUUAAAAAUCAAAUAAUAUAAAAGCCAUGCAAGGACUACGCAUGGCCAAAAGGUAUUCGUAAUGAGACAGAAUUGCUAGUAUCCUUGUACACUCAAUGAGAUAAAUCGAAAAUAUAACAAAUGCGAAUGCUAUGAACCAAUGAAAUGGAUUUCUUGAAUCCAAGAAAGAAUAAUACACAGAGACUGUAAAAUCCGUGUUAUGUUGACGUGAUCUUAGAUUCAAAGCAGAACAAGCAAAAGACCGAUAGAUAAGGAACAACUGAAAGUUUGUUUUUGUUUAACUAAUGCCUAUUUUAAAACCGAACGGAAAUAGGAAAAAUUGUUUUUGUAUAGAAAUUAUAUCGUAGCUAUCGCCUGGGCUUAGGAGCUCUUUCAAAAGUACUGUAUGUGAGUGUGUCACUGUAUGUAUGUACCUACAAAUAUAAUAAUAUAGUAAUAUAUUAUGCUUUAUGAAAGUCUAAAUCAAAUAUCUAUUUAAAGUUAUACAACACACCUGAAAUGAUAUUUGUACAUGUAUAGUUAUCGAUGAAAAUACAAAUCGUAGUAAAUGAACGAUGACAAAUGGAAGUGGAAUAUAACAUUCGGACAGACUUUAAAACUUCGAUUUGACGAAGACUUGAUAACAAAAAAAUCAAAGCCAGGCAUACCAUGUUUCAUUUAUUUAUAUUUUACUGAGAUAUUUUUCAUUGACAAUAGUACAGAGACUAAUAAUUGUAUAUAGACUUGAGGUCGAUCAACCUUACUUUUUAAUUGUCACGAAGUAAAUCGAAUCAUUUACAGUUUCGUUCAUCUUAACAUUUUGGAAAGAAUACCAGAAACAUAAAACUGUAAUUUAACAACUUUUUGUGAUAAUUUAUGUUAUGAGAAUUUAUACUUAAGGUAUUUAUAUUCUAUUUUAUAAUACUGUUUUUAUUGAAAACUAUGUACAGCAGCGGAAAAGAAAACGACAAAAUAAUACACAUCCAAGAAAAAUAAAA